AUCUUGCGUGAGUGAUUGAAAUGGCAUCCUUUUGCUUGGGCAAAAGAUAUAGUGAAAAGCGCGGUCCUCC
rnacentral:sRNA from 1 species